GUGCCAGCCGCCGCGGUAACACGUAGGGGGCGAGCGUUGUCCGGAAUUACUGGGCGUAAAGGGUACGUAGGCGGUCAUGUAAGUCAGAUGUGAAAGGCAUGGGCUUAACCCAUGUAAGCAUUUGAAACUAUGUGACUUGAGUUAAGGAGAGGAAAGUGGAAUUCCUGGUGUAGCGGUGAAAUGCGUAGAUAUCAGGAGGAAUACCAGUGGCGAAGGCGACUUUCUGGCCUUAAACUGACGCUGAGGUACGAAAGCGUGGGGAGCAAACAGGAUUAGAUACCCUGGUAGUCCACGCCGUAAACGAUGAGUGCUAGGUGUCGGGUGUCAAAGCUCGGUGCCGCAGUUAACACAUUAAGCACUCCGCCUGGGGAGUACGUUCGCAAGAAUGAAACUCAAAUGAAUUGACGG
rnacentral:rRNA from 1 species